UGCUAGCUGCUAACAAGCUAUUAUGGUUAGGUCAAAGAACUGUGGGUAACUAGGUACUUAUGAAAAUUAGCUAGAUAACCCCCGACUGGAUGAGCCUCGGUGGUCCGAGGUGCAGGCUUCAAACCUGUAGCUGCUUAGCGGCAGAGUGGUUCAAUUAGGGAGGCGCUGAAGAUGGCGGCGAGUGCAGACGAGAUUUCAGCUUGCUCCGAGUAACCUUAAAUUUAUCCCUCUCAAACUUACUUAAAUGUAACGGAACUUGGCUUAUAGUAAACGCAAUAGAGAACAACGCUUAGUUGACCGUUAAUUUGAUCUGAAACUUGGAGAAAUGGAAGAAAAAAAUGUGCGAAAGAGCAAAGGGAGGAGAAGGCAGUUGUUAGCUGAGCACUCAUACAUUGGAGAAAAACCACCACCUGACUCCUCGGGAGGAGAAAUGGAGGAUGCUGGACAUUCGGUUGAUUCUGAAAAUGCAGUCAAUAGUCCCUGCACCCAAAAAGACACGAAAGAAUUGUCUUUGAGCGAACUACAGGUCAUCAUAAUCGACGCUGUCUCUGCAAAGAUAAACGAAAGAGCCGAUGGUCUGGAGAAAAUGAUACGCGAAAACACAUCAAAAAUAGUUGACCUCGAGACCUCUCUGAAUCAUGCAUACAAAAGUAUCGAAGAGCUUAAACUUGCAAACAGUGCUACAUCAGAGAAAUGCACUGCUCAGGAGAAGACCAUCGCAGACAUGCAAGAGCGCUUAUCGGAAGCAGAGUGAUACCGGAGUAGGUGGGGGCUACGGCUUUACGGUGUCCCCGGAGGACCAGGAUGAGAAUGUGAAGCGCUUAGUAAGAGACAUCUGUAACCGUGUGGCACCGGACUUCCCCGAUGGAUAUAUGGAUAUGGCUGUGGAUGUCGCUCAUCGUAUUGGGAAGAAACAAGAUGCCUUCGUCAGCCGCUCGAUCAUCAUCCAGUUUGCUUUUCGCACAGCGAGAGAUGCGGUUUGGAAGAAAGCAAAGGAAAGCGCCUUUCUGAAAGAGAGAGAACUUAGAUUCGGUGAGGACUUGACUGCAGCAGACAAGGCAGCAAAGGCAAAAUUGUGGCCUCUUGUACAACAGGCCCGAAAUCAAGGAAAGGGUGGAUACUACAGGGGAAUCAGAGCCUAUUUCGCCAACGGAAAAGAAAUACGACCGGGGUGAUUUGUUCGGUCGGUAGGUUUACAAGAUGGGUGGACUGGAAAACCAGUGACAUCUUUCGGCUCUACAGCUACCAUUUUCCGGUGGGAAAGAGAAAUUGACCUGUAGAUACA